rnacentral:hammerhead_ribozyme from 1 species
AUCCAACUGACGAGUCCUAAAUGGAACGAAACUUGCGUUCUGUAU